rnacentral:lncRNA from 1 species
CCAGCGUCCGGCCAGCCUGGAUCUCCCCGGUGCCAUGGCCCCUGGGGGUGAAUCCCUGCACAGCUCUGGCCUCCUGCACCGUGAGCUGCCCCAGAUCCCCGUCCCUGAGCCCCCGGCCACCUCCCCAGCCCCCGACCAGACCUACUCCAACCUGCUCUUCACCCCUCUGCGCAAACCGGCGCCAGACGCUGUCUAUGAGUGCCUGGCAGUGGGGGACGAGGGCACCCCGGUGCCCCCCAGUGUCACCCCGGUGCCCCCCAUGCCAGCUGGCACCCAGCUGUCCCCUCCACGGGCUGGGCACGGCGCAGCUGAUUACGCCUGUGUCCAUAAAGUGAAGAAGGUGGUGUCGGUGGAGGUGCAGGAUGGGGCUGUGGCAGGACCCUCUGGAGCACAGCACGGCUGGGAUGGCACAGGCAGUGCCCCUCAUGCCAAGCUGGAGGAGAUGUAUUCAACAGUGUGCAAAGCCACCAAGAAGAAAUCCCAGGUCCCUGCAUCAACCCCAAGGGCUGUGAAGGACGGGGGGUCUGGAGAGCCAACCCCCUGCCAGCAGGAGGGGGCCCCAGCAGCCCCAGGCCCCCCUGACCCCUGUUAUGAGUCCAUCAAUGACAGAGCAUGGACUGUCCAGGCCCGUGGCCCCGAGCCUGACUACGAGGCUGUGGACAUUCACUGGAAGAAGGCAGCAAAAGGGGCCAAGCCAGGGAAGGGCUGUGUGCCUGAGAACCUCUACGAGAGUGUGGUGGAUGUCUGGGCAGGGGGGUCCCAGAAAGGCUCUGCCCGCACAGCAGCCAAUGGGCUGCAGGUUUACAUCACCAACCUAUAGCCCCCAGGAGCAGGGGCAGUGCCACAGGGGAGCCCACCUGGCUGGGCACCACUGGGUGCCAAAGGGACAGGUGCCAGCACCCCUGUGCCCACCCUGUGCCCUGCACUCACUCUCUGUACAUAUUUUCUGUUAUUUUUCUAUGAGUGUCUUUGUCCCAUUCCAGCCCAGCUGGUGCCAGCAGUGGUGGGAUGUCCCAGCAUGGGCAGUUUGGGGGUGUUGGGUGGGACCCCAGUGAGAGAGGGCUGGCACUGGCACCAAGAUGGGAACAGGGUGGGGACCAGUCACAUUUUGGGGCAGGGGGGUGACGGAGCUGCAGCCAGCCCCCUGCCUUGGGCUGCAGGAUCAGAUCCCCAUCAGGAGGUUUCUGCCAUGCCUGAGGGUCUCUGUGCUCCUCACACUGCCUGGGGGAGAGCAGGGCCUCCUCCAGCCCCCAGGAAACCCUGAGAAGCUUUGCCCCAAAUCACAGAAUAUCCCUUGUUAUGGGGAGAUGGGGUCAGCCCUGUGCCUCCAUGGAAUCAUAGAAUAUCCAUAGUUGGAAAGGACCCACACGGGAUCAUUGAGUCCAUCUUCUCACCCUGCACAGGACUACACAGAAAUGUCACUGGUGUGGGCUGUGGGCUCUGCUCCAUCCUCCAUCCCCACCCUCUCAGACCCGUGCAAGGGUGUAUCCAUGGGUCACCAUUAAAAGGC